rnacentral:lncRNA from 1 species
UUUGAUGUGAGUAAUAUUAGGAUCCUACUUGGUAUCGUUGCUGCUGACUCCUAGUUAUUUGCUGUAUUUUACACCAGUGCCUCAGUCUGAUACAAACUAAAUUACCUUCAUCCUAUCAAUUAAUUUUGCUUAAAAUAAUUAUACAGGCAAGCCAGGAUAGCUAUCAACGAACAUUGACAGUUCUCUCCAGAAUAAAGUCCGCUCUCUGUGGUGGAAGUUUGGC